UGCGACUGGCUCGAAAACCUCCAUGACGUCACGGCCAGUUCCACAGCGGUGUUGGGCCGUGUGGGUGGGCCGUGUGGGUGGGCCGUGUGGGUGGGCCGUGACUCACCUGGAAAGCGCGACUACACUUUUAUUUUUUUGCACGCGCGUCGCCAAAGCGCAAACUAACCGGAUUUCCAGAUUCUUCAGAAACACAAUAUUACAGCUUCUGCUUGAUUUUACUCUAACUUCCCACAUCUAGACUACAGACGAGUUCAUCUUUCACUUUCAGACCAACUACUCAUUUAAUGGCUCGUGUUUAUAAAAACUAUGAUGUUGACUGGAAGUGCUUCAGUGAUGUCACUGUUAAAGCACUCAUGAAGUUCAGUGACUUACAUUCUUCUUCACUUCGGCCAUUUCGUCUUCCGUCAGACCUGCCUGAUCCAUCCUGAUGUCCUAAGUCUGGCUGGAGUCUCAUCACAUUGCUCCUGUGGAGGAUGGCCCCAUAUGGAUAGCCAAAAGUCGCACUUGGAAGAUGCUUUGGACUCUUACAAUAAUGCUUUUAUGGCUGAGGACUACAGUUGACUUGCUAACUUUAGGAUUGCAGUUGUCAUGAACAGUUUUGCACUCAAGUUUCCAUCAAUGAAGAGUUUAGAACUUCAACAAAACAGACUUCCUGUUAAAACUAUAGUGAAUUUCCUGGUUACACAGUUCUACUUUUGUGACUAUAUAGGACACAGUUAUAAAAGCAAGUUAUUUAUAAUCACGUUAUCUGUUAUCACCCAAAUAAGAAUGGGUUCUCUUUUGAGUCUGGUUCCUCUCAAGAUUUCUUUCUUCCUCAUGUCGUCUGAGGGAGUUUUUCCUCACCACCAUCGCCACAGGCUUGCUUAUUGGGGAUAAAAAUAGCUCAUGUUUAAAGUCUUUAAUUUUCUGUUGUUAAAAGCACUAUAAAAAUAAACUUGACUUGUAAAUAUAUUA